UACAGAGGUCCCGAGCGUUUGUUCGGAUUCACUGGGCGUAAAGGGUGCGUAGGUGGUGAGGUAAGUCGGAUGUGAAAUCUCCGGGCUCAACCCGGAAAUGGCAUUGGAAACUACCUUGCUAGAGGAUUUGAGGGGGGGAUUGGAAUACUUGGUGUAGCAGUGAAAUGCGUAGAUAUCAAGUGGAACACCAGUGGCGAAGGCGGGCACCUGGACGGUAACUGACGCUGAGACGCGAAAGCGUGGGGAGCAAACAGG
rnacentral:rRNA from 1 species